rnacentral:rRNA from 1 species
CCUACGGGUGGCUGCAGUCGAGAAUCAUUCACAAUGGGGGAAACCCUGAUGCUGCGACGCCGCGUGGGGGAAUGAAGGUCUUCGGAUUGUAAACCCCUGUCAUGUGGGAGCAAAUUAAAAAGAUAGUACCACAAGAGGAAGAGGCGGCUAACUCUGUGCCAGCAGCCGCGGUAAUACAGAGGUCUCAAGUGUUGUUCGGAAUCACUGGGCGUAAAGCGUGCGUAGGCUGUUUCGUAAGUCGUGUGUGAAAGGCGCGGGCUCAACCCGCGGACGGCACAUGAUACUGCGAGACUGGAGUGAUGGAGGGGGAACCGGAAUUCUCGGGGUAGCAGUGAAAUGCGUAGAUAUCGAGAGGAACACUCGUGGCGAAGGCGGGUUCCUGGACAUUAACUGACGCUGAGGUGCGAAAGCGUGGGUAGCAAACAGGAUUAGAUACCCCUGUAGUC